CUCACCGUCGCUGCAUUUGUACUGGCAGAGGCCGUCCUCGCCGCCCAGGAGGUCGAGCGCCGCGUUGAGGUAAACGUCGAUCUUGUGCACGCCGUUCCGGAUAGUUUUCAGCGUCAUCCUCCAGUCUGGGGUCUGCGGCGCCUCCUGGCUCCGGGCCGCCGGCGGCCGCGGGCCCACCCAGGCACCCGCCAUCAGCAGCGGCAGCAGCAGCAGGGCGCGGGCCAUGCCCGAGGAGCCGCGCCCCGCGCCGCCGGGCGCUCGCUAAGCCCCCGCCGCGCGGCCGCAGCGCUCCGCACGCACGGCCCGGCCCGCCGCCAUCGGCCCCGCGGGCGCCGCCCCUACGGCUGGGCGGGACUGCGAGCAGGGCGCGGCCUGUUGGAGAAGGCGGCCGGCGUCCGCUCCUGGCCCGGCGCUGCGGUGUGGGGUGCUGGGAGCGGAGCUGCUCCGGGAUCUUUCCACGUGCGAGCGAUUCGCUUUCAGGUGAGGCAGGGUGGAACCACACGGGAAUCGUUCUAAUUUCUGCAACGAAAGCCUUGUUUUAAGACGUGUGGAAUUCCUCAAAAGACGGACAGAGGGAUUUUAGGACACAGGUAACUGCAGGGGACGGGAAAUAUAAAGAACAUGGAAAGGCUUCCGGAUCUGCAGGCGGGCGCGAAAGUACCCGGUAAAUGCUGCUGCGUGUUUGGGCUUUUGUUUGUUUGUUUUUCCUCUCCAGUCUUUGCCGUUCAUUAUUGUUAACUGGAGAAACAGUAGGAAAAGCUGUUAGCAGAUGUUGUCUGCUAACAGACAGAAGAGGGAGCUCUUGCCGCGCCUACCCUGGGAAGUGCCCGUCCCUGCGGCUGCUGUACGGAAGCCCUCCUUCGGCAGAGCAGUUCCAGGGAAGGGGCGUGGAACGAAAGCGGUCUCUACUCUUACUUUGCUUGGAGGUGACUGACAGGGCCUUACUUGCCAAAUUCAUGCUGAUGCGGCUCCAUGCUCAGCGGAGGAUGAAGUCAGUGAAAAUGUAAAAAUGUUGCCUGAAGCAAAUAAUGGUGUCUUAUUAAAAACCAAACUCCAGGCAAGCCCUCAGACUCAGAGAACCCACCCUUUUUCCCUCAACAUCCUUGCGUGAGCGUAUGCUAUUGAGUUGGUGGGACAGCUGAUUGAGAGGGAUGAAGUAAAAAUAGGUGUUCAAACACUUGUAAAUUGGAAUCCAGCAAACUGUUACAGAGCUGUUGCACAGUUUGACAGGACUGAAAUGGUCCUGAAGUCAUUUGUACCAAUCCAAAAGCCAACUACUGGCUUUUAAAAAAGAGCCAGAACUUUCCUAGUGGACUCAGGGCCUGCCCUACCUACCACAUCAUUCUGCUUUUGGGUAACUUUCUGAAUCACUGCAUGGCCAAACUGCCUGUGACUGCACAGCACAGGAUCAGGCCCCUGUAAGGGUGUGUUUUUUUUCUUUGUGUCACUGUUUUGUGCUUGUGUCUGUUGGUGCAGGAAGCUUCUGCUCGAGUAGUUGAGUGAUUUAAACAAAUCUCACGAUCGUGUUCAGUCCAUCAGUUAACACACGGUCUGAAGUUCUGUUUCUCAGUAAGCCUAAAGGAUCAUCAGCCCAGCAAAGCGGCAUCCUGAGGGUUUCUAAUGACCUACCCCCCAGUAUGAUGGAACUGCUUUUACAUUCUCUGGUUGCUGUCCUUUCUGUAACGUUCACAUAUUGCCAGUGCAGUUGUUUUCCAACCACUGCUUUCAGUAUGGUUGUCCAUUUAAAAUAAACAGUUACUACUGAAAUGUGGUGUGCAAUGUGGGGAGAGGGAAAAGAAAUAGCAACAACAAAAGGACAGAUGCUUGAAUUUCCCUGCAGUAAACAUGGUUUUAUUAGAUAAUUUUGCUGUGGACUUACAUGACUGCAAAACUCUUUUGUACAGACUUCUGUAAAAUUGUAGUAUUUGUAGAGAGCUGAACGUUUUCAAACUACAUUAUUUCAUGAUUUAUACUAAUAGUUGCUAAGGCACAUGGCUGCUAUAGUAAAAAUGGACUAGUGUUCAUUUCUGCAUGGAUGGUAACAAGUGUUUAGUUUGCUGAGCUUCAGAUAUUAUACCGUGAAAUGAGACUCCUUGACACAUGGUGGCUAAUCCAGUCGUAAUAGCUGGCUACUUGUGUGUAGACGCCGGGGUGACCGGCCUCCCCACAGUUUUCACCCCAACUCACAACACCCCAGACAUAAGCCACAUUUUCUGCAUCAAAGCAAACCAGGGGACCUCCUGAAUCACCUUUGCAGCUGUCAAUGGAGCCAUCGUAAGUACCUGCGGCAAAAGAGGGUGGGGGAACAACAACAACUCAAAAGUAAGUUUAUAUGCAAGCUAGCACACAAAGUAGAGCUCAGGAGGCUUUUUAGAUCCAUGUCACUUCCUGACAGGUGUCUGCCUAGCAGUCACUACUACUGGAAGUUCCCAGUCUCUUUGGUCUACUAUUUCUUAAUUAUUUUGAAGUGCAGCCCCCCCUCUUUACAAUUUUGGCUGGCCCAAAAGCUCAUUUGCUUUCACGUCAGGAAUGUGAUUCUUCUUGUGACAGAGAAGAAUUCAGACAUAUUGUAUAUUAUAUCAUUAGAAGUAGCUUAUAAAAAGGGGACAGAAGGUAGAAGAAAAGGGUAAGAAGAUUAGUGGACCGAUCCCUCUGGAAAUUAAGCUAUUAUAAUAUGCAUGUUCCUCUACAUCUGCUAUUGAUGUUCUCUCUACCUAGUAGUACAUUGGCCAAUUUGAUCUGAGCUACGCAGAAGUAGAAACCUCAAAAUUAAUUUCUCUGCAGGCUUUAUGGCAAAAGGUGGGCAGAUCCAAGGAUAGUACAUGAAUGAUGGGAUACAAGAGAGUGUAACUGUCUUUAACUGAGCCCUUGCAGAUAUGGCACUUGAAGUGUGGACCUUCUGGAGCACCAGGUGACAGCUCUGAGACAUAAACAUAUGGGCUGUGGUGCUCUCUACAAGUUUCUGGGGUUUUGAAGCUACUUGUUUCCAACUUAGCAAAUGUAGUGGUUGUAAUAAAUAAAUAAAGAUGAAAGAAUAUGAUAUAGGCAAAAACUUGCUAGAGAGUUGGAAUACAAUUUAUCCUUUGUCCCACAGACUCAGUAGAAGUGUGUAAAGACAUCUUUAUGUCCUUCUUUAUACUCGGUUGAUCCACCUAGUUUGAAGGAACCCAUACUAAGCAAGGCUCCCCACGUUUUUAAACAUGUAACCUCUUUCUUGAGUCUCUACAUCACUGAGAAAGAGUUCUGUGAAUGUUUCAGGAUUGGAAAGACCAAUUCUAUAAAACUAGAUUUUGUUCCCCAUACUCAGUUGAAUUAACGUUACCUUCUAUCAGUAGUUCCAGCAGAUACCAGUCCUUAAUUCCAAAAUUUGUAUCUGCAUUCACGUUGUACUGAAUUUAUUCACAAAUGGUUAAGUUUUUAUAUCCAGUUUUAAUUUGUCUUGUUAUGUACUUUGUUUAAAUACUGCCUUCACUUCAGAGUUAAAGAACAGUUGAAACUAUCUGUCCUGUAAGUUGAAAACUCAUUGCUCUUUAAGACAUGUGUUUGGCAAUACCUUUUGUUACUUGAAAAGCAAAAAUGUGUACUCAAAAUGCUUAUUUUAGUAUUAGGAAUGACAACCAGUUUCCUGGCCAGACUAAUCUUUGUUUGAAAAGUUUAUAGUAUUUUUCCUGGGGUGUGGUUUAGUGGUAGAAAAUAUCUCAGCAGAUGAAUAGUCACAUGCUAGUCAAUAGGACUGUGAAUGUGCUCCAAAAAAGGCAUUUGCUUUAAUAUGUUCCUGAAGCAGAAUGAAAUAGAGGUAGGAGGAAGUUCAGUGGGCUGUAAUCUGCUUGUGUGUUUAGAAAACAUGACUCCAACUGUGUGCUGAAAUUUGCUUACAGUCACUGAAACUUGGCAUUCUGUCACCAUAACUGUUUAUAAUUAGAUAGAUAACAACAGAUGACUGUAGACUCCAGUGGCUAGUGCUUUGCUAAUGACAAUGCCGUUGCAUUUGGUUUCUUGCAUUUUCCAAGUCUAAAAGAUUCCCAGCCUGUAUGUCAGUCCUUAGCAACGGUGGGCAUGAUGGUAAAGUUAUAGUAAGAAAAUUCAUACUUGCCUGCACAUGCCAUUUUUUGAAAGAAUCGUCCUGGAUACAUUUCAGAACAAUUCUGAAAUAAAUUAACAUUUCCCCAUUUGAGCACAUAUUGUUUGGUAUAACCUAGAAAAGAAAAUGAUAAACUUUUCUAAAUUUAAACUGAUAAAUGUGUAUGAAACACUUUUAAUAUCAUAAUAUGAAAGUUAUAGAUUUGCUAAUCUACUGAAUUUAAUCUUAGAUAUUAUAAACCAGGUACCUUAAACUGCUGCUAACACUUGCCCCACAUCCACUGCCCAUAUGUUUCAAAAUCAAAGCAGAGUGGUUAAAUUGCAGUAUUAAAUGCAGUAGUUUCAUUUUUUUGUAAUUUUUACUCCUUCCCUUUGUUACUUUCUUCAAUUUUUUCCAUGUUUUCCAUAUCAGGGUUUCCAGACACUGGGAGACCAGUAUAUUGUUUUCUGUGAAAUGGAGAAACGCCUCUGAUCAUCCUUGUUACUUCUUUCUCAGAAAGAUGAGAGGACUGGAACUUGCAGAUACAGGUGAGCUAUGUAGUACAAGGUUAAGGAGUGCAUAAGCUAGUGCUCUUAUGCCAGGCUGCAGUCAUUCUGUGAUACAAAACAAGUGAUUCCCAAGGUUUUGAAAGCAUGCCUGCACUGGGCCUAUCCUUCUCUGGGUUGAACCUAUACGUGACUGAGAUGAGAUGUGCUGAGCUUCGUAACUGCUGGUUGCAUCUCAGAUCCGUUUGGGCAGGGCACAGAGGUCUGGCUGUGACCACGGGCCAUGUGUUAAAUACUGUUACCAAGUUUGCACAGCUAUGAUAAAUAUGAGACUGGUAAUUACAGCCACUUCUUCUGGAUGCCCCAGAGGUACUGAGCAGCUCUUGUCUCCCUUGAGAAGCAUCUACAGGAGCAGCACAACAAAUAAGUUUCUUGCUUAUGUGUAUGUUGUCUGACUGCUGCUGUCUCACUCCUGCUGUCUCAUUCCUGCUCUCUUGCUGCACUGUGCUGUCACCAAGUGUGCUGCAGUGGAGUCAGGCUGCGGAUAAAGCUGCAAACUGAACAUUGCCUUUUAUCAGGUUAGCUCUCAAAGAGGUCCUCCAAACCAAUUUAUUGGGACAAGAGGGAGCAGUACAAAAAAGAGAAUUGACAGCCAAAUGCCGACAGCCAAAUGCCAACAGCCUGUGUUUGCUGUGCUCAGCCUCUUGCACGUGCUUUGCAUGCACCACUCUUCAGCCUUUUCAAUAUGAGAGCUGACCAUUGUUUGAAAAACAUAGAUAAAAAUAAUACAUUCUGGUAGUAAUGAAUUGAAUGAAUGAAUGGUAGCACUGAAUCAAAUACCUUUCUCUAGUCCCCAUCCAGAAACCUUGCAUUUAUCGCCAGCCUUGAACAUAUGCUCUGACCAGGGGACGCAGGCAGGUGUGCUGUAUUUCAAGGAGCACUCUCCUUUUCCAUGACCUUUCAGCUCCAGCAGAGCGAUGUCAUUUUCAUAAGUUGCAGCAUCAUACUUCUCAUGGAUUAUCAGUUGCUUUAGUCUGUAAGUGUCUGUCUCUCUGUCAUACUGUAUUGUAUCCAACAGCCCAAUCCAGACACGGUAUUGAUGAACUCGAGUUGCUCUGGAAAAGGAGCCAAUGAAAUAUGUUUUGGUACCUCACACAAGCACUGUAUGUUUCAAUUACUCAUAAAUUUUUGCAUUUUAUCAAAGUUUAUGUGGAAUAAAUAUUCAUAUUAUACACGUAUAGUUUCUUUCUGGACUUGUAUGUCGCAGUUGUUCUGAAGGAGGUAGAAGGCUGGUGACACUUAUUGCUGAGUCCUGAAGCUAAUACAGAAAGACAGUACUAAAGGCCAGUGUGUUUAGUGCCCUCACAAAGAGAAAGCAAAGCUUAUGUCUCUGAUAUCAGAUGAAAGAAGAAUGGGCAAAUACACAUGGAACACUGGGCUCGGCAGGUCUUUCCUGCCCACUCCUGCUGGCUCUGGGGAAUAGGUGGCACCAGGGACAUUCUUGGGGGACAGGCACUAGACCUCCCCAGUGCUGAGAGGAGGUAAUUCGUAAUUACUUUUUUGCUCACUGACAAAAUGCUUUGUCUUUGAAUCCCUCCCACUGUUAAUGUGAGCAAAUCAGUGAUUUUAGUUGUGUUAUUGAAUGGGCAAGUAAGAAUUAGCAACCAAGUAGCCGAGAAGAGCAAUAAUGCACAGAUUCAUCUUUUCUACUUUGCAAAGAAAUCAUUUCUCAGGUUGUUGCUUUUACCUGACACAGUGUGCAGCAGUCAGAACCCAACAGCCACCAAUAUAAACCCCUCCACAGUACACUGUUGCACCUUCAGUGCCAGUGUCUUUAAUUGCCACUUGCCAAGGGAAUUCACCCUAUUAAAAUGACAGAAACCCAAAUAAUAUGAAAUCAUCAUUGUGCUAUUUUUUGUGCAUAAAGGGAAACACAAUAUCACUUCAUCUCCUUGACUUAAUCUGCUAUUAAGAAGUUGUCUGUAAUCUGGGCUCUGACAUAAAAGCUCUGUAUUCUAAACUACAGUAACGUUGUUGUCUUCUGACAUUAUGCAGUGUCUCCCUCCCCGCAGCUUUCUGUCAGGAAACUCCUAAAAAAACCAGAUGGAGGAUCUGACCUGGUAUGAUCAAACGUUACAUUUAUGACUAUAAUUAUCAUACAUAGCUAUAGUAUUAAGUAUUUUGCUGGAUUAUUUUCAACACAUACUUGCACUGUAAUGCUGUAUUUUGUAGCUUGGUGUUUUACCUUAUGAACUGUGCUUCUAUUUAUAUUCAUUCAGUGCAUUGUCACUACUAAUGUAAAACAUGAAAUUAAUGUAACUGAUUUUGUUAUUUCCGUACAUUUUAACAGAAGGACAAUAAUAACCAUUUAAAUUGUUACUGAAUGAACACAUGAGCCUAUAUUUGUAAGGUCUGGUUGUGUCUGUGUGUGGGGGGUUAUUAUUAUUUUUUACCUUUCUUGCAGUCUGUCCACCUAUGAUUCUUUUCCGUCGAGUUAAUGUGUGAUUUACAACACCGCAGUUUAUUUGGGGAAGGAAUGUCUUUGCCAGUUUUCUUUCUUUAACAAAAAGGAAGAAUGUGUCUCAGAAUUCAAGUAUUCAUUCUCUCUAUUUGGAGACAGACUUAUCUUUACCUUGAAAUCAUGAGUGCUGUGAGUAUGCAAGUGGCUGAAGUAGCAGGAAAGCAAAAGACCCAGAAUUGUUACAUCUAUUUUUGCUUUGAAAAUUACUUCUGUCUUAGCAUCACAAUAUUUCUGUUUAUUUUUCAUUACUGACAGCAUUCAGGUGAAUAAUUUCAAAGCAGUCGCCGUAGACUUGCUUAGAGUUUACCUCUAUCCGUUGCUAAUAUGUACAGAUGUGGAUCCUGAGGCAGGAUUAAUUAUUAUUGUGGUUGAGAUUAGUGGAAAGCUAGUCAAAUAGUUAAGCCCCAGAGUGUGUACUACUAAGCCACAAAGUCCAUGUAUCUGAGUGUUGCGAAUCUGGCCAACUGGCUGGUAGUUAGAAAGCCACUAAAAAGAGGGUAUACGGUGGUUUGUGGGCCGUUACUUACCUGCAUCCAUACUGUGAUUUUCCUCAUGUUUUGGUUUGCCUGUAGUGGAAUAAUAGAAUACUAAGAACAUUUACAAAUAUUUAUAUUGUUCUGUUACUUGAAUAUUUGGUUGUGUACCAAAAUUAUGGUACAUUUUCAACUGGAUAGGUGCAUAACAUUUCGCAUAGACAGAAAUACUCUGUAAGCAUUGUGCCUGCUGUUUUCUUUUUCCUAGGCACUCAUUGCUGCCAUAGCUUACAAAUGACUGGCAUCCAGCAGAUAUUGAUUUACAACUACAUGAUAUCUAGUCUUCUUUUCUUGUCCAGAGGACCAUUCUGCAAAGAAACCCUGUGAAAUGGCCUCCUUUGUUUUUUGUUUUUUUUUUUAAGUCUCUAAAGCGAUAGACUGCUCUCCUCUACCAGGAAACACCAGAAAUUCCCCCUCCUGCCCCGUCAAUCUUUUGGAGCUUUCUAAAGCCCAAAGGAGCAUUAGGUAAGAAGAUCAUUCCCCUGGUGUGAUUUUCACUCUUCCUGGUCACCCACAAGCUAUACUCUUCAAAAAUCAGCUGAAGUGCACAACAGAUGAUAAACAUUUCAAGCCAGUGGUUUAUAGCACACCACAACAAUGGAACUGUGAGCAAAUUAAAAUAUAAGGGGACUUCACAGAAUCACACAGAAUGGCCUGGGUUGGAAGGGACUUCAAGGAUCAUGAAUCUCCAACCCACCCCCCUGCCCCCCCGGCACUGGCAGGGCCACCAACCUCUACAUUUAAUACUAGAGCAGGCUGCCAAGAGCCCCGUCCAGCCUAGCCUUGAACACCUCCACGGAUGGGGGAUCCACAACCUCUCUGGGCAGCCUGUUCCAGCACCUUACCACUCUCACAGUAAAGAACUUGCCCCUGACAUCCAACCUAAAUCUUCCCUCCUUCAACUUAAAACCAUUUCCCCUUGUCCUGCUAUUAUCUCCCCUUUCAAAGAAUUGACUCCCCUAACUUGGCUUAAACACCAGAAAAAUGAAAUUAAAAAAAAAAGAGUAGCAACUUGAUUUUUUUUCAAGACCUUUUUAUUGUCCCAGUUGACCCAGUUGACAUAACUAUAGCCAAUAACUACUUAGAAACAAAUAAAUCUAAAAUUGAAGAUGUGUUUCAUUGCAAGUAACAAGUAUUAAGUAUCUUCAACAAAUGUGAAAAUUAAGUGCCCUUCCCAGUCUGUUUUGUUCCCAUAUCUUGGAUGGCAGUGGGUUUGCAGUGUGGUUUCUGGUUGUUGUGGACUGCAAGGAGUGCUCCUUAUCCCUCCAUCUGACCAUCUGUCUCUAGGUGAGUGAUAACACCUAUCCUGGCAGCUCUCUGGUUAUUCCAUUGCUGGCUGAGUGCUUUUGCUCACUAAGAUGUGUGUGCAGGGGGAAUGUUGAAAUGUGAAAAAUAUGUAGCUAGACUUUGCAUAAAGAUGAGAAAGAAAUGUCAGUUGUCAGAUCGGAUUUAUCGGCUUUGAGUGCAUCCACUGAAUCAACAGAGCCAAAGUUUAAAGUUCUCGUGAAGAAAUCCUGGCCUAAGUAAAGGCAGUGGGAAUGUCGCCAGGGCUGAAUUUAUUCCGAGCCCCUCCCACCCUUUUAAGGGCUGUAUAAUCUUAAUAAAUUCUUCCUGUUCUUCUCAGGUCAGUAGAAUCCUAUGCAUUAUCUUUAGAUUUACAUACCAAACUCUGAGCCAGGCCCGGCUUGGCAUAACUCCUGUAUUGCACUAGAUGUUUCUCUUUAGCUCUGACAGAAUAGCAACAAAAGGGGCUGAUCUUUACCUACGGGUUUUUCUUGGAAAGCUCAGGCUAUGCUGAACAUGGAGCCCAUCAGGACUCCUUGAGAGGCUUUUGCCAGAAGAGAUUUUACAACAAAAGCUUUCUGAGCUGAGCCACACUUGCAGGUUGGGUUUAGCAUAGCAUCCCGAUUAAAAGAUUUUCCAAAAGGCUGUUAAUGUAAACCUCAGAUAGAACCGAUAUACAGAGGAGAAACAGCAAGAUUCACAUUUUCAAGCUGGACUAAAACAAAUGUACGAAAUGCAGAUGCUGCAAAAGGAAAUUAAAAAAGACUUUGUUUUUAUAAUAAUAAAUUGUUUUAACUGUUUGCUGUUGGUUGGUUUGUUUUUAAAAUAAGGGGAUACCACAAUAAAAUAAGUUCUUACCUGUGCUCGACAGAAAGAAAAGAGAGAGAAGCAAACCAAGAGAACUGCAACCACUCUCAUGAUGAGGUUUUAUGUCUUUGUAGAGAAAUUCCCCUGGCCGGGACUUUCCCAAUUGCCAGUCGUUAGGUUUGUGUUUAAUUUUUAACCUUUGGUAAAACACUCUGAAGUGGACUCAGAAACAACUACGGGAGCCUUAGAUAUCAACGGAUGAGUCUGCUCUCUCCACACGGAUCCCACCCCAUUUAACCUGUUUUACUGUAAAUAGAGACCAAAGGGAAGCCCUUGAAGCCAACGGUUACAAGGGAGUGCUCAGCAGGGUCUCUCGCUCCCCGCCUGCUGCCAACGCAGACCGAUGGAGCCGCGGGCCGAUCUCCUGGCAGCAGGCACCCCGCUCUGCAGGGAGCUGUUAGGGCAGGUGCGUUCUUAGGUGAGAUACGUGUGUCUGUAUGCAGGCAGGCAAACGGAACGGAUCAACUCCACUAUCUCCGUGCGAGAGCGUAACCGGCGGAGCCUUGCUCAGAGAACUGUUGGGGCAGUGGCCAAUCCACUGCAUCCCACCUGCGGGCGGUUUCCGGGAGAACCGCGGUCUCGGCCGGCACAACGGAACGGCUCCUGCGA
rnacentral:lncRNA from 1 species